UUGAUUUUUAUGUUUUCAUUCAGACAACACACAGGUUUCUGCAUAAAAGCGGCGACCCAAAGGGACGCCGAAGCACGAUGUUUGCUUCCACAGGUUUGAAGGGUAGAAGGUCAAUGACCAUUCAAUAAUGAUCCCUCCGCAGGUUCACCUACGGAGA
rnacentral:misc_RNA from 1 species